rnacentral:rRNA from 1 species
AGUGGGGAAUAUUGCGCAAUGGGCGAAAGCCUGACGCAGCAACGCCGCGUGAGCGAUGAAGGCCUUCGGGUCGUAAAGCUCUGUCAAGUGGGAAGAACACAAUGACGGUACCACUAGAGGAAGCCCCGGCUAACUUCGURCCAGCAGCCGCGGUAAUACGAAGGGGGCAAGCGUUGUUCGGAAUUAUUGGGCGUAAAGCGUAUGUAGGUGGUUUUUCAAGUCRGGCGUGUAAGCCCUCGGCUCAACCGAGGAAUUGCGUYUGAAACUGAUURACUUGAGUGUAGGAGAGGAAAGCGGAAUUCCCAGUGUAGCGGUGAAAUGCGUUGAUAUUGGGAAGAACACCGGUGGCGAAGGCGGCUUUCUGGCCUACUACUGACACUGAGAUACGAAAGCCAGGGGAGCAAAGGGGAUUAGAUACCCCCGUAGUCCUGGCUGUAAACGAUGGGCACUAGGUGCGGGAGGUAUUGAUCCCUUCUGUGCCGCAGCUAACGCAUUAAGUGCCCCGCC